rnacentral:rRNA from 1 species
GUCCGGAUUUAUUGGGCGUAAAGCGAGCGCAGGCGGUUUGAUAAGUCUGAAGUUAAAGGCUGUGGCUCAACCAUAGUUCGCUUUGGAAACUGUCAAACUUGAGUGCAGAAGGGGAGAGUGGGAUUCCAUGUGUAGCGGUGAAAUGCGUAGAUAUAUGGAGGAACACCGGUGGCGAAAGCGGCUCUCUGGUCUGUAACUGACGCUGAGGCUCGAAAGCGUGGGGAGCGAACAGGAUUAGAUACCCUGGUAGUCAAGGGCGAAUUCGC